ensembl:lncRNA
UCUCAAAUUACAAAGUUCUCUGUCUGUAUUAGGCUGUUGUCAUAUAACAGGACAAAUCUGCUGCCAGAGAUGCCUGCCUCUCUCUUUCUUCAUGAACUAUGAAGACAGUGAAUGAGCAGUUCUGAAACUAAGCUUCCUUUGAAAAUCUGCAGUAGGAACUGUAAAGUGUACUGUAAAUGCCACCCCUUUUCAGGUAGUGCUUCUGAUGAAAAAAAAAAAAAAAAAAAAAAAAGUAUUUCUUGAAAGAAAGGAAGGAAAUGCUCCCUACAGCUCUAAGGAGCCAGAUUGGCAGCUCCACUGAAGUUUCACCAGCUUCUUCAUGUCUUUCUUGCACCCAGGGCCCAAAAAGGGAUGUAUGGCGUCUCAGACCCCUGUGAUUCAUGAUGUUACUUCAGUAGUAGACCAUUUCACUUCAUUUCACUUCUCCAGCUUUUGAUAGGCUUCAAUGCAUUGUCUCCUGAUGUUCCUGAAAGUAUGAAGUAUUUUCUGCUAUUUCAAGGUGUUCUCUAGCCUGUCUGCUACAAUAUGAAGAAGGACUCAGUGGCAGCAUUGAAUAAUUAUUUACAGAAGAGGUAAAAAAAAAAUUUUAGUUAUACAAGAGUGUGCAUGUCACACUUGUAGAAAUCUGCACCAGAGGAGGUGACCCACUGUUGCUAUCAUCACUGCUAAAAUGCACCACCCACUGUUUAUUGUGCUCACAUCCACUCUUUGAUCUCUAGAAAUGUUCAGCAAGCAUCAGUGAACAUCAAUGGGUGCCAUUUUUUCCGCAUGGAGGGAUUCAGUCACACACUUUUUCUUCAUAUGCACUUCCACACCAUUUUAUCAGACUGCUUCUCUGCUGCCAUCUGUCACGCAGCAACGAAAUGUAAUGAAAUGUUAAUGGGAAGGUUCAACCUCUACUGCCAUACCACCAUCAACCACUUCUAACGUCAUGGACCAUUAUAAUAAGAUAGAAGACAUUACUUUUGGAGAAGCUCUCAUACUUUUGUCACAAUAUAAGCUCUUCAUUGCUACUGGCAAUAUCUACUACUACAAGACCUAAAAUAAAUUACAUCUUUCGAGCUGAAAAACUGAUAGCUUGGAUUGGCAGUUUGUGAAAGUGCAUCAUACAGAAGAAGGGAAGAGCUUCAUAUAUUUGCUGACAUUCAGUCUUUGCUCUUGUAUUUUCUAGACUGGCAAAUAAUUGUGGAACAGAGAUGCAUAAAGAAACCUUUCUAAAGGGAGCAGUGGAUCUGUUCUUAAGACUGAUGACAAUUUCCUGGCUCUCCAUGGUAUUACUCCUGUCUAAAACACUAUUCUGUAUGUCAUUUCCUACUGCAUGUUUUUCUUUACCUCAAGUCUACUCUUCCCUAGUUUUCUCAUGUAAUAAAGCACUCUAAAAUA